CAAAAAGUAGCUUACAACAAAGCACUCGAUUUACACUCGAACGACAUUACACAAUCUUUUUGA
rnacentral:tRNA from 1 species